UCAUCUUCAAGGCAAUUGUCUCAGGCAUCCUCCAGGCAUCAUGAAGGAGGCACGACAAGUGUUCAAAAGAGAACCAGGCCCAGCCCGGAGAAAGGAAAGCCAAAAGCCAACUGAAUGAAUGACCCUCCCCCAGAAGAGCAACCCUGCCCCCAGGCCAUCCAAGUGCGAACAUUACCAGGUGCCAGCAGGGAAAGGACUCCGCUGCCUGACGCCUCUCCCACCUGAGAGCGCAGAGUUCACCCUUUGGUGACCUCCACCGUGGCUGCAGACUUCAGGUGGUCCUCACGCAUUCACAGAACUGUCUGCUUAG
rnacentral:lncRNA from 1 species